rnacentral:rRNA from 1 species
CCUACGGGUGGCAGCAGUGGGGAAUAUUGCGCAAUGGGCGAAAGCCUGACGCAGCGACGCCGCGUGAGGGAUGAAGGUCUUCGGAUCGUAAACCUCUGUCAGCAGGGACGAACGGUCACUGUGCUAAUCAGCAGUGAAUUGACGGUACCUGCAAAGGAAGCACCGGCUAACUCCGUGCCAGCAGCCGCGGUAAUACGGAGGGUGCGUGCGUUAAUCGGAAUUACUGGGCGUAAAGCGCGCGUAGGAGGGAUGUCAAGUCAAGGGUGAAAUCCCCGGGAUCAACGUUGGAACUGCCUUUGAAACGGGCAGACUGGAGUGUGUGAGAGGAUAGUGGAAUGCCGGGUGUAGGAGUGAAAUCCGUAGAUAUCUGGAGGAACAUCAGUGGCGAAGGCGACUAUCUGGCACAUAACUGACGCUGAGGAGCGAAAGCGUGGGUAGCAAACAGGAUUAGAUACCCUUGUAGUC